GUUGUUGAAUUCCGGGGUAUGAGUUGGGUAUUUGUUGGCAGAAGGGUGAAGAGUGAAGAAUUCCUGACAUUUGCAAUGAAAUAAGGCAUCAGCGGCUGAAUUAAUGUAGCCUGGUAUAUGUUUGCAGAAGAGAAAAAACUGGUAUGUGGCAGCCAACCAGGUCAGCCUGCAAACUAACCUCAUAACGGUCAAUGAAGAUGACCGACCCUUAUUAAUUAUUUCACAGGCCGCCAUGUUGUCGGUAUAAUUGCCAUUCCUGACCAGGAUUUAGCCCAUGUAAAUGCAGCUGCUACUAUCGGGUAGAUUUCGAAUAAAGUGGACGUUUAGCAAAAGGAAGGCAGUUGGAGCGUGUCUUUCGGCCAGUGUGAUACUUAGGAAAAUGAGAAUGGUGGUGGGUUCAGUAGUUUUGUCUUGGGAAAGCCAAGAGUUGAAAAUAGUGCUGUUGUGCUUUUUAAGCUUAGAGGAGUGCUACUACUAUGUUCCACCAUUAAAAAAUCAUCUAGAUAGUGUAUAACCGUGGAACACCUAGUGAUGUUUAGGAGAAGCAAAAAAAGAGUCUCGGAAAACGUGUCAAAAUUUUAGGGCUACUUUUUGCGCCAAAAGUUAUUCUAGUAGCAAAAUAACCCGUGAACAUGCCAUAACGAGGGUUGAAUAGGUAGUAACUUGAAAGCAUUGGUGAUAUCUGCCUUGCUAAGCCUACCAGCCUUCAGGAUUGCCUGUAUAACAUUAUCCACAGUGGUGUAGUGUAAAGAGAAUUCAGAGGAUGGUAUGAGAGAGUUUAGGCUUGGGUUUGUAGAUGAAUGAGGUGCCAGUAGGUCAAUGAUUAACCGUUUUUUAUUCGAGUAUUUGUUGGUGGCGAUACCAAUCAGAUUAGUGCUACAGGAAGAAAAGGGAGGGGAGGAAAAGGGGCCUAACAUGAAACCUUUUUGAACUUCUUUCCUAAUAAGAUCAUCAACUGUUAAAGUGAGUCAUUCAUAGCGGAUAGGAAGUUGGGACAUUCUAAAGUACCUACGUGGAGAGCCACUAGCUCAGUGUGGAAACUUUGUGAAAAACCGUGAAUUAUGUAUUCCACCAAGUGAGGGGAAGGGUGAGUUUUCAAGUAGUAUGCCAAGUUGUCUAUCUUUACCUCAGUAAGUCAUUGUCUGGGGUUCAGUUUUGAAGGGCACACGGACCUAGUAUGUGCCCUAAAGCAUACAGAACACACGUGCAGAAAUCUGCAGGCAUUGACACUACAAACUCCUUCCUUAAAAUUGUUACAGACUUGUGCCUUCCCCAGGAAAACAAUGGGUCGUCUGAGUUUAUCUUUUAGACCGCUUUGGUCAGGCUUGCUAGACCCACCUGGUUGAUUCAAAUAUGUUGGGGGGGUCUGCUUAGUGGUAUGGGAGGUGGAUGAGCAGACCAACCAAGCCUGCAAAACGUCUGCAAAAGAGCUCUGUGUCCAACUGGCUCCAGUCGGUACGGAUGUUAAAUUGGGCCAGGGCUGCUGCUGCUUUUGCUGACACGGACUUGUGAUAAUCAUAAAAAAAAAACGUACUUAUGGCCCAAGUCCACCAAUUUGUGCAUGUAGAGGUCAAGUUCUUCACGGCGCUGAAGAUAAACAGAACAUACAACGUCCCUAUAUACACUGAAGGCUAGGACAAACUCAGGGAUGGUGAGUUUUUUUGUUUAGUUGUGGGUCUCUAGCCUUCAUUGCAACAGCUAAGUCGCAGUAAUUGUACAGUCUUUUUUGACAACAUCCUGUGAAGCGAUUAACAUAGAGACUAGAUUUACGUCUUUCCCCUCUAGAAUAAUUUUGCGGAGAGCCGGGGGGACCAUGUGUGCCGGGGUAUGACGUGGGUGAAGGGGGGAGUAAGAGGUGAAGCAGGAGCCCUACCCUGCGUGCUGGGAGGUUUGAGUGCCUGUGCAGAUCCUACGGGAGGUGGAUCUAUCUGAGCCGAGCUGGCAUUUUCCAAUUUUGUCAGUCUUUCAUUUAUGGACUGCAGGGACAACAAAAUGGUGUCCAAAGUUCCUUGUAUAUUUGAGUUGUGUCCAACUCCUGGGAGGAGUUAGCCUUGCUGGUACCCAACCCAGGUACCUCAGGAUGAGCUGUGAGCAGAUUGAAAAGUUCUGCUUUGCUUGUCGUGGCUGGGAAGGGGAUGCCCCUAAAGGGCAGUUAAGCCGAGAUCCUGGGGAUAGUCCAGGAGCACAGCAACCCUGGUGUGGAGGGUUCUUGAAACUCGGUGGGGGUACCAUGUCUAACUGGGGUACUAGGCCUAGCGGGUGUGCUAGGGUGGGGAUGAUUCUUUGCCUAUGUUGGUCUCCUGGGACAUACUGCAAAAUACAAAACAACAAGGUCUGAUUAACAUAUCCCCGGUAAACUUUGUAGAACUGGCUCUCUAACUAGUGCCGAAGUGAAAAACUUUCUACCCCGUGACAUGUGAGGCCCUACUAGUUGCCAAGUGGCAGGAGAGAGGCUCUAUUUAUGAUUUGGACCAUGGGGCUCGAGCCACUAAUGUGGUGGCGGGGUGUUGGCCUCUCGGUGACAGUAAAAGAUUAAAAACGUGUGGCCGUGACAGGUGAGCCACUAACUAUAAACCCGAUAGGUGGGUGAAUGCAACGCUCUAACUAUGAUUUGGGCCGCUGGGCGAAAUCUCUGUGUUGACAUUGGGGGUUUAGCCUCGCGGGACCAGCUAUUAUAAAUAUAUCUAAGGCCAGCACCUAACCCUGAACAGCCAAUUCUCUGACCCUGGACGGGGGUCUUGAUAAAGGGAAGAUAUGAACAUAAUUGUGAAACACACCUAGCCAACCACAAAUUGUGAUUCCUUGAAACAAAAAAUUCCCUAUGAGACCUAAAAACGUAAAAUAAUAAAAAAAACACCUAAGUACUGUAUGGUGGGAGUUCCUUAAUAAUAGUGCUGACAGCUUAUUCUUUGUGACCGAGACCCGAGCAUGCUAGGAAACAUAGAAUUUGUUACCAUAUUUCUGAAGGAAUUCCCGUGUCUAGUAGUAGAGAGAAAUAAAAGGAGGAAGUUGAACAAGAGGUAUCUGCGAUUAAGCCCGAGACCAACAGAAAAGUGGACAUAGAAUAAGAUUGUAUACUAUCAGAUAGUGAACGUUUAGAUAAGAUCGUAUAAUGGAUUGGCCGAGUAAUGCCGUGGUCUAACGAGGCAAGGCGGGAAUCAAGCCCCCGUUCCCUACUAACCCUUCUUAUGGACGUAGCAUGGCAUAUUGUAGAGAGAGAAACUUGAAUUUUAAAUACCUUGCUGGAAAGCAGGAGCAAAUAAACGAACAGGCAAUACAGGCCUAGAGGGUAGUCGAAACCUCGGGAUACCUGAAAUUAAGGUAUAGUAUGUAAGCCAUAAAUUGGUUGUAUAUCCUUAUAAAUGCAUAGAAAAAUGACACACAUAAGCAAUGAAAGUAACCCCCUCUAAGUGUAUGUAUGUCAUAACAAAACAUAUUUUUUUUUUAACAACAAUGUAGUUCUAAUGAAUGUUAUAUAAAUUAGAACACCUUAUAACUACAAAGAGUAACAUACAAAGUAGAAUAAUUACACUGCUCCUGACAUGUGAAAAACCUGUAUAGUUGGUAACCC
rnacentral:lncRNA from 1 species